UACCCGCUGAACUUAAGCAUAUCAAUAAGCGGAGGAAAAGAAACCAACAGGGAUUGCCCUAGUAACGGCGAGUGAAGCGGCAACAGCUCAAAUUUGAAAUCUGGCUCUUUUAGAGUCCGAGUUGUAAUUUGCAGAGGGCGCUUUGGCUUUGGCAGCGGUCCAAGUUCCUUGGAACAGGACGUCACAGAGGGUGAGAAUCCCGUACGUGGUCGCUAGCUAUUGCCGUGUAAAGCCCCUUCGACGAGUCGAGUUGUUUGGGAAUGCAGCUCUAAAUGGGAGGUAAAUUUCUUCUAAAGCUAAAUACUGGCCAGAGACCGAUAGCGCACAAGUAGAGUGAUCGAAAGAUGAAAAGCACUUUGGAAAGAGAGUCAAACAGCACGUGAAAUUGUUGAAAGGGAAGCGCUUGCAGCCAGACUUGCUUGCAGUUGCUCACCCGGGCCUCUGUGCCCGGUGCAUUCUUCUGCAGGCAGGCCAGCAUCAGUUUGGGCGGUGGGAUAAAGGUCUCUGUCACGUACCUCUCUUCGGGGAGGCCUUAUAGGGGAGGCGACAUACCACCAGCCUGGACUGAGGUCCGCGCAUUUAUGCUAGGAUGCUGGCGUAAUGGCUGUAAGCGGCCCGUCUUGAAACACGGACCAAGGAGUCUAACAUCUAUGCGAGUGUUUGGGUGUCAAGCCCGAACGCGUAAUGAAAGUGAACGGAGGUGGGAACCCGCAAGGGUGCACCAUCGACCGAUCCUGAUGUCUUCGGAAGGAUUUGAGUAAGAGCAUGGCUGUUGGGACCCGAAAGAUGGUGAACUAUGCUUGAAUAGGGUGAAGCCAGAGGAAACUCUGGUGGAGGCUCGCAGCGGUUCUGACGUGCAAAUCGAUCGUCAAAUUUGGGCAUAGGGGCGAAAGACUAAUCGAACUAUCUAGUAGCUGGUUCCUGCCGAAGUUUCCCUCAGGAUAGCAGUAACGUAUUCAGUUUUAUGAGGUAAAGCGAAUGAUUAGAGGCCUGGGGGUUGAAACAACCUUCACCUAUUCUCAAACUUUAAAUAUGUAAGAAGUGUUUGUUGCUUAAUUGAACGUACACAUUUGAAUGAAACGUUAUUAG
rnacentral:rRNA from 1 species